rnacentral:rRNA from 1 species
GAUGAACGCUGGCGGCGUGCCUAAUACAUGCAAGUCGAGCGAACGGACGAGAAGCUUGCUUCUCUGAUGUUAGCGGCGGACGGGUGAGUAACACGUGGAUAACCUACCUAUAAGACUGGGAUAACUUCGGGAAACCGGAGCUAAUACCGGAUGAUAUUUUGAACCGCAUGGUUCAAAAGUGAAAGACGGUCUUGCUGUCACUUAUAGAUGGAUCCGCGCUGCAUUAGCUAGUUGGUAAGGUAAUGGCUUACCAAGGCAACGAUGCAUAGCCGACCUGAGAGGGUGAUCGGCCACACUGGAACUGAGACACGGUCCAGACUCCUACGGGAGGCAGCAGUAGGGAAUCUUCCGCAAUGGGCGAAAGCCUGACGGAGCAACGCCGCGUGAGUGAUGAAGGUCUUCGGAUCGUAAAACUCUGUUAUUAGGGAAGAACAUAUGUGUAAGUAACUGUGCACAUCUUGACGGUACCUAAUCAGAAAGCCACGGCUAACUACAUG